rnacentral:rRNA from 1 species
AUGUCUGCCUCUGUCAUGGCGUCUUUGGUUCUGCUGAAACCAUCUCCCUCUCCACUGUUAGGACGAGCGAAGCUCCGGGGUGUGCGACCAUCGGCGAGGCCAUCGCUGCUCAUAGUAGCCAGCAAGAAGGCGAAGAAGGUCCAGACUGCCCAACCCUACGGGCCUGGUGGUGGAGUGGUGUUCAAGGAAGGCGUCGAUGCGUCCGGAAGGGCGGCCAAGGGGAAGGGUGUUUACCAGUUUGCCGACAAGUAUGGAGCAAACGUUGAUGGGUACAGCCCGAUAUAUACACCAGAAGAAUGGUCUCCAAGUGGUGACGUUUAUGUUGGAGGAAAGACAGGGCUGUUUCUCUGGGCAGUCACUCUUUCUGGAAUUCUGUUGGGUGGUGCUCUUCUUGUCUACAAUACUAGUGCCUUGGCUUCUUGA